UUUUUAUAGAGAGUUUGAUCCUGGCUCAGGAUGAACGCUGGCGGCGUGCUUAAUACAUGCAAGUCGAACGAAGACAUCUCGCCGAAGCUUGCUUCAUUGAGAUAUCUUAGUGGCGGACGGGUGAGUAACGCGUGGGUAACCUGCCUUACACAGGGGGAUAACAGUUAGAAAUG
rnacentral:rRNA from 1 species